rnacentral:rRNA from 1 species
UACGGAGGAUGCAAGCGUUAUCCGGAAUGAUUGGGCGUAAAGCGUCCGCAGGUGGCUAUGUAAGUCUGCUGUUAAAGAGUGAGGCUCAACCUCAUAAGAGCAGUGGAAACUACAUGGCUAGAGUGCGUUCGGGGCAGAGGGAAUUCCUGGUGUAGCGGUGAAAUGCGUAGAGAUCAGGAAGAACACCCAAGGCGAAAGCACUCUGCUGGGCCGACACUGACACUGAGAGACGAAAGCUAGGGGAGCAAAUGGG